rnacentral:rRNA from 1 species
GCCCAGACUCCUACGGGAGGCAGCAGCAAGGAAUAUUGUGCAAUGGGCGAAAGCCUGACACAGCGACGCCGCGUGGAGGAAGAAGGCCCUCGGGUUGUAAACUUCUUUUCCCAGGGAAGAAUAAAAUGACGGUACCUGGGGAAUAAGUUUCGGCUAACUACGUGCCAGCAGCCGCGGUAAUACGUAGGAAGCAAGCGUUAUCCGGAUUUACUGGGCGUAAAGAGAGCGUAGGCGGCCUUUCAAGUCGAAUGUAAAAUCUCCCGGCUCAACUGGGAGGGACCAUUCGAUACUGUUGGGCUGGAGUGCAGCAGAGGAAGACGGAAUUCCCGGUGUAGUGGUGAAAUGCGUAGAUAUCGGGAGGAACACCAGUGGCGAAGGCGGUCUUCUGGGCUGUGACUGACGCUGAGGCUCGAAGGCGUGGGGAGCAAACAGGAUUAGAUACCCUGGUAGUCCACGCAGUACACGAUGGAUACUAGGUAUAGGGGGUAUCGACCCCCUCUGUGCCGAAGCUAACGCUUUAAGUAUCCCGCCUGGGGAGUACGGUCGCAAGACUAAAACUCAAAGGAAUUGACGGGGGCCCGCACAAGCAGCGGAGCGUGUGGUUUAAUUCGAUGCAACGCGAAGAACCUUACCAGGGCUUGACAUGUUGAAAGUAGAAACCCGAAAGGGGGACGACCUGUUAAGUCAGGAAUCAUCACAGGUGCUGCAUGGCUGUCGUCAGCUCGUGCCGUGAGGUGUCGGGUUAAGUCCCAUAACGAGCGCAACCCCUGUUGCCAGUUAUUUUCUCUGGCGAGACUGCCCCGCAAAACGGGGAGGAAGGCGGGGAUGACGUCAAGUCAGCAUGGCCCUUAUGCCCUGGGCUACACACACGCUACAAUGGGUGGUACAAUGGGUAGCAAUGGAGCGAUCCGGAGCUAAUCCUCAAAACCAUCCUCAGUUCGGAUUGCAGGCUGAAACUCGCCUGCAUGAAGUCGGAGUUGCUAGUAACCGUAAAUCAGCACGUUACGGUGAAUACGUUCUCGGGCCUUGUACACACCGCCCGUCACGUCAUGAAAAUCGGCUACACCUGAAGUCGAUGAGCUAACCGCUUUUGUGGAGGCAGUCGCCUAGGGUGGGGUCGGUGAUUGGGACGAAGUCGUAACAAGGUAGCCAUAGCGGAAGCUGUGGCUG